UUUUCAUAAUCUGGAAAAGACUUGCUUCCCUUGUUUAGGGUACUUUUCGAAACCCCAUGGUCGUGCCUGGUAUCCACUCAUCAAUGGAAGUGGUCCCCCCGGAAUUUGAAUCUAAUCCCCCAUUUCUGGGGAAAGUAAAACAUAAUGCCCAUUAAAUCGUGUGCGAGAGGCAUAUCGUUUGUGUAGAAGGAGUAAACAAUAGAACAAAGAAACCCGUAAGUUCAAACGUAUUGCAUAUGCUGUGUACAGAAAUGGUUUCGGCUAGAGAGGUUGAUCUGACCCAUGAAAUCAAUUGCCAGUGAUCCACCAAUAAUCCACAUUAAAUGCAAUAUCGAUUCGAUGGACUGCAAUGAUCUAUAUCUAAGCCUUCAUUCACCCUGGUAGAAGCAUCAUCAUCAGAUGCAUUAGAUCAGCUUUGAUCUUGAUACCAUCAUUCAGACUCUCAGCUGUAUCGUUAUAGAUGGAUAAAAAGAACAAUAUUCAUGCAGAUUAAAUCAGAUGGUUUAGAGGUCUUGAGGGCAUCAUGCCCCCCCCCCCCUGGCCCCUGGCUCUGGCCGUACUUGCCUUUUAUUAAAUGUCUGUGAUCAUUACUUUACCACGCACCUACAUAAUUAAGUACUGGUGAUGCAGCUUUCUCCUCUACUGCUCCAAGGCCAUGGAAUUAGCUGCAUCCUCUCCUCCAAUUGUCAACAACCUUGGAUCAAUUCAAAUAUAA